GUGGGGAAUAUUGGACAAUGGGCGAAAGCCUGAUCCAGCCAUGCCGCGUGUGUGAAGAAGGUCUUCGGAUUGUAAAGCACUUUAAGUUGGGAGGAAGGGCAGUAAGUUAAUACCUUGCUGUUUUGACGUUACCGACAGAAUAAGCACCGGCUAACUUCGUGUCAGCAGCCGCGGUAAUACGAAGGGUGCAAGCGUUAAUCGGAAUUACUGGGCGUAAAGCGCGCGUAGGUGGUUUUGUAAGUUGGAGGUGAAAUCCCCGGGCUCAACCUGGGAACUGCCUCCAAAACUGCAUGACUAGAGUACGGUAGAGGGUAGUGGAAUUUCCUGUGUAGCGGUGAAAUGCGUAGAUAUAGGAAGGGACACCAGUGGCGAAGGCGACUACCUGGACUGAUACUGACACUGAGGUGCGAAAGCGUGGGGAGCAAACAGGAUUAGAAACCCUGGUAGUCC
rnacentral:rRNA from 1 species